UACAUUUGCGGACAUAUUUGAAGUGGUGCUUUGCAAUUUAUUUACUGUAAACACAAGUAUUUUAGCCAAAUAUAAUUUAUGCAAUGGCAAACCAGAAUGAAACAACAGCAGAUAUCAGCUCCCGCUAAAGCAAAAGACGACUACAUGCAUAGGCUACUGCGCAGGUGUAGAACGCGCGGCCGUGUCUCCAGGAGGUUUGCUGGAACGCGAUCCUGAGGUGAAAUUUCUUUAAGAGGUUUUAAAAACGUUCUACACUGUGGAAUACGGCUGCGAGUGAUGUUAGCAGGUUCCGCAUGUUGGAUAAGAACAGCAUUUGUGAGACGACAUCAACUCAUCAUCCGAGUGGACAAGAACACCAACAGAGGAAGCCAAGCCGCAAAAACAAUGAAAAAUUGUCAUGACUUUUUAUUUUAAAUAAAAGUUAUGUGAUAAUAAACA